UACGUAGGCCGCAAGCGUUGUUCGGAAUUACUGGGCGUAAAGAGUGUGUAGGCGGUGCUCCAAGUCUGGUGUGAAAUCUCCCGGCUUAACUGGGAGGGUGCAUUAGAAACUGGAAUGCUAGAGGAUGGGAGAGGUAAGCGGAAUUCCUGGUGUAGCGGUGAAAUGCGUAGAUAUCAGGAGGAACACCUGUGGUGUAGACAGCUUACUGGACCAUUUCUGACGCUGAGACACGAAAGCGUGGGUAGCAAACAGG
rnacentral:rRNA from 1 species